UACGUAGGGGGCAAGCGUUGUCCGGAAUUAUUGGGCGUAAAGAGCGCGUAGGCGGUCCGAUAAGUCGGCUGUGAAAGUCAGGGGCUCAACCCUUGAAAGCCGGCCGAUACUGUCGGACUAGAGUCCGGAAGAGGCAAGUGGAAUUCCCGGUGUAGCGGUGAAAUGCGCAGAUAUCGGGAGGAACACCAAUGGCGAAGGCAGCUCGCUGGGACGUUACUGACACUGAGGCGCGAAAGCGUGGGGAGCGAACAGG
rnacentral:rRNA from 1 species